rnacentral:rRNA from 1 species
UACGGAGGGAGCGAGCGUUGUCCGAAGUUACUGGGCGUAAAGCGCGCGUAGGCGGGGGAUUAAGUGAGAAGUGAAAGGCUGAGGCUCAACCUCAUGCAGUGCUUCUCAUACUGGUCCUCUUGAGGGUGGUAGAGAGAAGUGGAAUGGCUGGUGUAGCGGUGAAAUGGCGUAGAUAUCUGGAAGGAACACCGGUGGCGAAGGCGGCAUCCUGGGACCGAACACUGACGCUGAGGAGCGAAAAGCCAGGGGGAGCAAAGCAGGGGAUUAAGCAUGACCCCGGUAGUCCCGA